rnacentral:rRNA from 1 species
AGGACGAACGCUGGCGGCGUGCUUAACACAUGCAAGUCGAGCGGAAAGGCCCUUCGGGGUACUCGAGCGGCGAACGGGUGAGUAACACGUGAGCAACCUGCCCUUGGCUCUGGGAUAGCCUCCGGAAACGGGGAUUAAUACCGGACAUUCACUUUCUCCUGCAUGGGGGUUGGUGGAAAGUUUUUCGGCCAGGGAUGGGCUCGCGGCCUAUCAGCUUGUUGGGGGGGUAACGGCCCACCAAGGCGACGACGGGGUAG